GAUGAACGCUAGCGGCAGGCCUAACACAUGCAAGUCGAGGGGUAGAAUUAGCUUGCUAAUUUGAGACCGGCGCACGGGUGCGUAACGCGUAUGCAAUCUACCUUGUACAGGGGGAUAGCCCAGAGAAAUUUGGAUUAAUACCCCAUGGUAUAAUUAAUUUGCAUGAAUUGAUUAUUAAAGUUCCAACGGUACAAGAUGAGCAUGCGUCCCAUUAGCUAGUUGGUGUGGUAACGGCAUACCAAGGCGACGAUGGGUAGGGGUCCUGAGAGGGAGAUCCCCCACACUGGUACUGAGACACGGACCAGACUCCUACGGGAGGCAGCAGUGAGGAAUAUUGGUCAAUGGUCGGAAGACUGAACCAGCCAUGCCGCGUGCAGGAAGAAGCAUCUAUGGUGUGUAAACUGCUUUUGUACGGGAAGAAACACUCCUUCGUGAAGGAGCUUGACGGUACCGUAAGAAUAAGGAUCGGCUAACUCCGUGCCAGCAGCCGC
rnacentral:rRNA from 1 species